AUGGUGUGGAUGAACCGCUUGGCACAGAGUGACCUUCUCAGUGAGACUUCUUUGGCGUGUGUGUGCGCUCAGUCGUGUCCAGCCCUUUGUGGUCCCGUGGACUGCAGCCCACCAGGCUUCUCUGUGCAUGGGAUUCUCCAGGCAAGAAUACUGGAGUGGGUGCCAUGCCCUCCUCCAGGGGACCUUCCCUACCCAGGGAUGGAACCUGCGUCUCCUGCAUCUCUUGCCUUCGCAGGCAGAUUCAUUACCGCUAGAGCCACCUGGGAGGCCUUGUGCUCUAAACAUAUAUUUGAAAUCGCAUUAUUCAUCUUUUACUUUGCUUCCUGUCUUAUCUCACAGAAGCAGAAACUGCCAAGAGAUCAAGCAGGCAUUCAUGAGUGCAUUCAUUUCCAAGGAUCCCUGCAAAGCGACAAAGGAAGACUACAGACGACUGAUCGACCUGGCAGAUCCCACUGUGCCUUGCAACAAGAGAGUCUUAUGGAGCAAAACAAAGGAGCUGGCUCGUGAAUACGCGAAACUGCGGGGCCUGGUGACCCUGGAGGACACGCUGCUGGGUUUCCUUGCGGACCGCCUCCACUGGUGUGGAGAGCCAGGCUCUCCUGAUUUGAACACGUGGUCUUGUCCAGACUGGAAGAAAGACUGCAGAACGAACUAUCGUUCUGUAUUUUGGGAAGCGCUGUCCGAAAGGUUUGCAGAAAGUGCCUGUGGUACAGUCCAGGUGUUGCUCAACGGGUCACUCGAGAACGCCUUUGAUGAAAUGAGCACAUUUGGACGAGUGGAAGCCCCUAACUUGAAGCCAAUGGUUACACUACAGGCUUGGCUGGUACAUGACCAUGGAAAUCUUUGCCGUGACACAUGCUCUGGCUCCUCUAUAAAGAAACUGAAGUCGAUCUUAAGAAGAUAUGUCAGAUUUACCUGCAAGGAUGUCAGGCGUGAUCCAGAGCUCCUGACUUUCAGGGGUGUAGAAGCAUAUUUCCCAAAAGCAAAGGAUUUAUAAAGGCCUUGUGACUUGCCAUAUCUUACAGCCGGGACGAGUUUCUUGGAAGAUUAUGAGGAUUUAUCUUGCGGAUGAGUCAAUCAGCAUGGUUGAGCCCUGGCUGUACAGAUCAACACACACGAUUCAGGAGACAUGCUGGUGGAAAGUUGGGACUUUGGCGGGAAACUUUUGUCAUAAAAUUAACACCAGAGAUGGAAACCUUUUCCUCCAGGAUCUUAAAAUAACUUAUGCUAUUGACAUAGUUUUUUAUCUUGAUCUAAUAGUCAAGAAAAAUUAAUUAUAAUAUAAAGUUAGAGUAGAAAUUUUAUACAGUUUUGUAUUUCAUUUUUCAUAUGAUUCUUUUAUAUUGCUAAUAUGUUGGUAACAUCCUCUCUGUUGAAGAAUGAGCUCUCCAAACCUAUUGGCCGGUCAAGAAAAAUAAAUGCCCAGACUUUUCAGCA
rnacentral:lncRNA from 1 species